AUGAUGAUCUCCGGGAUGAAUUCUGCAAUGUCGGCUGACUCUGACACAGCUUCUGCAACUGAUGAAGGCUCCUCCUCCAGUGCGGGUGAAGCUGCUUCUGCCUCUACUGGUGCCUUGGGCACAGCCUCAGGUUCUGGGGCCUCCCCUGUAACAGUCUCUGUUUCAGGCUCUGGAGCUGCAGGCUCAGGUUCUGUAGUGUCUGCCACCUCUGUGGCUUGUUCUGUAGCCUCAGAAUCCUUUUCUGGUGCUGGCUCUUUUGGUGCUGCCGCAGGCUCUUCUGGUGCAGGUUCUUUUGGUGCUGCCGCAGGCUCUUCUCGCACAGGCUCUUCCACUGUAGGCUCUUUUGGUGCAGCUGCUGUUUCGUCUAGUGCCGCUGGUUCUUCUGGUGCCUCUGUUUUAUCUGGUGCUGUUACAGGUUCCUCUGGUGAUGCUGCUGGAUCCUCAGCUGCAGCAGGUUCUUCCAGUGCUGACACUGGCUCUUCUGGAGCUGCAGCUGGUUCCUCUGCUACUGCUGCAGGUUCUUCCGGUGUCGACACUGGCUCUUCUGGGGCUGCAGGUUCUUCUGGUGCUGCAGCUGGUGCUGGCUCCUCUGGUGCUGCAGCUGGUUCUUCUGAAGCCACGGGCUCUUCUGCUGUUGGCGCUGGUUCUGCCGGUGCUGCCACAGGUUCAUCUAGUACAGCCACUGGCUCUGCGGUGGCCCCCUUGGCCACAGCCUCAAUAGCUGACAGGGCCUCUUCUGUCGCUUCUGUGAUGGUUACCGCUGCCAACUCCACUGCUCCCUCUACCACAGCAGACACCUUAGGAGCAUCCUUCGCUACCAACUCAGCGACAGGAGCUGGUGCUUUGCUCUCCACGGCAUGGGCCAUGGCCUCAACGGCACUCACAGCAGCCACAGUAAUCUCCUCUUUCUUGUCUUUUGGGUCGCUGACAUCGUACCCCUUCUUUUUCUUGCUCAGCUUGCCUCCCAUGGUGUCUCCUAAAAGUGAAAAAUAA
rnacentral:lncRNA from 13 species